GAUGAACGCUGGCGGCGUGCCUAAUACAUGCAAGUCGAGCGAACGGACGAGAAGCUUGCUUCUCUGAUGUUAGCGGCGGACGGGUGAGUAACACGUGGAUAACCUACCUAUAAGACUGGGAUAACUUCGGGAAACCGGAGCUAAUACCGGAUAAUAUUUUGAACCGCAUGGUUCAAAAGUGAAAGACGGUCUUGCUGUCACUUAUAGAUGGAUCCGCGCUGCAUUAGUUAGUUGGUAAGGUAACGGCUUACCAAGGCAACGAUGCAUAGCCGACCUGAGAGGGUGAUCGGACACACUGGAACUGAGACACGGUCCAGACUCCUACGGGAGGCAGCAGUAGGGAAUCUUCCGCAAUGGGCGAAAGCCUGACGGAGCAACGCCGCGUGAGUGAUGAAGGUCUUCGGAUCGUAAAACUCUGUUAUUAGGGAAGAACAUAUGUGUAAGUAACUGUGCACAUCUUGACGGUACCUAAUCAGAAAGCCACGGCUAACUACGUG
rnacentral:rRNA from 1 species